GAGCUUGCUCUUGGCUGACGAGUGGCGGACGGGUGAGUAACGCGUGGGAAUCUGCCUAGUAGUUGGGGACAACCUGGUGAAAACCAGGCUAAUACCGAAUGUGGUCUACGGACUAAAGCAGGGGAUCUUCGGACCUUGCGCUACUAGAUGAGCCCGCGUUAGAUUAGCUAGUUGGUGAGGUAAAAGCUCACCAAGGCGACGAUCUAUAGCUGGUCUGAGAGGACGAUCAGCCACACUGGGACUGAGACACGGCCCAGACUCCUACGGGAGGCAGCAGUGGGGAAUAUUGGACAAUGGGCACAAGCCUGAUCCAGCAAUACCGCGUGUGUGAAGAAGGCCUGAGGGUUGUAAAGCACUUUCAAUUGUGAAGAAAGGAUUAAGGUUAAUAACCUUGAUUUUUGACGUUAACUUUAGAAGAAGCACCGGCUAACCCUGUGCCAGCAGCCGCGGUAAUACAGGGGGUGCGAGCGUUGAUCGGAAUUACUGGGCGUAAAGCGUACGUAGGCGGAUAUUUAAGUCAGAUGUGAAAGCCCCGGGCUCAACCUGGGAACUGCAUUUGAAACUGGAUGUCUAGAGUUUGGUAGAGGCGGGUAGAAUUCCUAGUGUAGCGGUGAAAUGCGUAGAUAUUAGGAGGAAUACCAGUGGCGAAGGCGGCCCGCUGGACCAAAACUGACGCUGAGGUACGAAAGCGUGGGGAGCAAACGGGAUUAGAUACCCCGGUAGUCCACGCCGUAAACGAUGUCAACUAGUCGUUGGGUCCUUCGGGGCUUAGUGACGCAGCUAACGCGUGAAGUUGACCGCCUGGGGAGUACGGCCGCAAGGCUAAAACUCAAAUGAAUUGACGGGGGCCCGCACAAGCGGUGGAGCAUGUGGUUUAAUUCGAUGCAACGCGAAGAACCUUACCUACCCUUGACAUCAUCAGAACUUGUUAGAGAUAACUCGGUGCCUUCGGGAACUGAAUGACAGGUGCUGCAUGGCUGUCGUCAGCUCGUGUCGUGAGAUGUUGGGUUAAGUCCCGCAACGAGCGCAACCCUUGUCCUUAGUUGCCAGCACGUAAUGGUGGGAACUCUAAGGAGACUGCCGGUGAUAAACCGGAGGAAGGUGGGGAUGACGUCAAGUCAUCAUGGCCCUUAUGGGUAGGGCUACACACGUGCUACAAUGGUACAUACAGAGGGCAGCGACCUCGCGAGAGCAAGCAAAUCCCAGAAAGUGUAUCGUAGUCCGGAUUGGAGUCUGCAACUCGACUCCAUGAAGUCGGAAUCGCUAGUAAUCGUGAAUCAGAAUGUCACGGUGAAUACGUUCCCGGGCCUUGUACACACCGCCCGUCACACCAUGGGAGUGGGCUGCAAAAGAAGUAGGUAGCAUAACCUUCGGGGGUGCGCUUACCACUUUGUGGUUCAUGACUGG
rnacentral:rRNA from 1 species